AAAUAAGAAGCGAAGUUAUUGCAUUCAGUUUCGACCUGAAAUCCUGGUAUAAAUAUACCCUUAUUUA
rnacentral:tRNA from 1 species